UGGGGUAUAGGUCAGUGGCAGACCACACGCUUGGCAUGCCUGAAGUCCUGGGUUCAAUCCCAAAUCCCAA
rnacentral:tRNA from 1 species